rnacentral:rRNA from 1 species
UGAGGAAUAUUGGGCAAUGCCCGCAAGGGUGACCCAGCAACGCCGCGUGGAGGAUGAAUGUCGUAAGAUUGUAAACUCCUGUUAGAGGGGAAGAAUAGUACCGGUUGGACCGGUAUAUGACUGUACCCUCAGAGAAAGCCCCGGCUAACUACGUGCCAGCAGCCGCGGUAAUACGUAGGGGGCAAGCGUUGUCCGGAUUUACUGGGUGUAAAGGGCGCGCAGGCGGGAUAAAAAGUCAGUGGUGAAAUCCUACAGCUUAACUGUAGAACUGCCUUUGAUACUUUUAUUCGUGAGUUCGGGAGAGAGAGACGGAAUUCCAGGUGUAGUGGUGAAAUACGUAGAUAUCUGGAAGAACACCAGUUGCGAAGGCGGUCUCUUGGUCCGAUACUGACGCUGAGGCGCGAAAGCGUGGGGAGCAAA